AUUGAACGCUGGCGGCAGGCUUAACACAUGCAAGUUGAGCGGGGUGAUGGUGCUUGCACUAUCACUUAGCGGCGGACGGGUGAGUAAUGCUUAGGAAUCUGCCUAUUAGUGGGGGACAACAUCUCGAAAGGGAUGCUAAUACCGCAUACGUCCUACGGGAGAGAGCAGGGGAUCACUUGUGACCUUGCGCUAAUAGAUGAGCCUAAGUCGGAUUAGCUAGUUGGUGGGGUAAAGGCCUACCAAGGCGACGAUCUGUAGCGGGUCUGAGAGGAUGAUCCGCCACACUGGGACUGGGACACGGCCCAGACUCCUACGGGAGGCAGCAGUGGGGAAUAUUGGACAAUGGGGGGAACCCUGAUCCAGCCAUGCCGCGUGUGUGAAGAAGGCCCUAUGGUUGUAAAGCACUUUAAGCGAGGAGGAGGCUCUUUUGGUUAAUACCCAGAAUGAGUGGACGUUACUCGCAGAAUAAGCACCGGCUAACUCUGUGCCAGCCGCCGCCGUAA
rnacentral:rRNA from 1 species